rnacentral:sRNA from 1 species
GGAAGGUUUCUUUGCUGCAUGUUAGAGACUGUGACCAGGUGGCAUAGUGAUAGAGCCACAUAUGAAAAGGAAUGUGGAAACUAUCCAGGAUUCCUUACCAUAUUACGGGCAACUGGAUUUGAUGGUGGAAAUAAGGCUGAUCAAUUAGACUAUGAAAAUUUUCGACAUGUUGUACAUAAAUGGCAUUACAAACUAACCAAGGCAUCAGUACAUUGCCUUGAAACAGGCGAAUAUACUCACAUCAGGAAUAUCUUGAUUGUGCUAACAAAAAUACUUCCUUGGUACCCAAAAGUUUUGAAUCUGGGUCAAGCUUUGGAAAGAAGAGUACACAAAAUCUGCCAAGAAGAAAAAGAGAAGAGGCCAGAUCUAUAUGCAUUGGCUAUGGGGUAACAAAAUUAUAUUUUAAUGUGAUUUACAAGACUAGAUGACAGAAGGAUUCUGAAGACUUUAAAAUGUUUUACAGUGUUGAAGUUUAUCUUCUGCCUUCAGGAGAUUAUGGGAGAUUAUGCGAUCAUGUUUCCACAGGCUGGUGAGAGUUACCACUUCUGAUUAUCAACUUCCGGUCUAUACUGGAUGAUAGUUUUUUUAAAGUCAUAUAUAAUAUUUCUUGAUUGGGAGGAAAUAUAAUUUUAUCAUCAUAGUUAACAGAUCUUCAAGAGU